UACGUAGGGUGCGAGCGUUGUCCGGAAUUAUUGGGCGUAAAGGGCUCGUAGGCGGUUUGUCGCGUCGGGAGUGAAAACCAUGGGCUUAACUCAUGGCUUGCUUCCGAUACGGGCAGACUAGAGGCAUGCAGGGGAGAACGGAAUUCCUGGUGUAGCGGUGAAAUGCGCAGAUAUCAGGAGGAACACCGGUGGCGAAGGCGGAUCUCUGGGCCUGUCCUGACGCUGAGGAGCGAAAGCGUGGGGAGCAAACAGG
rnacentral:rRNA from 1 species